UUCUGCUUCAUACAUUUUAUUGUUUUGGCUGCAUACAGUCAACAGAUGACAACAUCGAAAGCUACACUCCUCGAAACACGUGCCCGCGACCCUCAACAACGCCCUCCUCUCAGCCUCCUCAGCCAGCCCACCCGAGCCGCCCUCAGGUCCGAUCUAGCGAACAGGUACGAAUGACAGGCGUGUACGGACGAUAUUUCCUCUUCUCUUACGUUAUAUUCCCUAAACCGAAGUGUAUUAACAGUAUUACUAAUGAUAUAUUACCUGUUUGAGUGUGUGCACCAGUUUCGGUAAGUCUCCCAUUCAAGGUUCAGUUUUUCCAGUUCAAUUUCUGGAAUACGUGCGACUUACAGGCGUGUACGGACGAUAUUUCUCCUUUUCCUACGUCAUAUUCCCUAAACCGAAGUGUAUUAACAGUAUUACUAAUGAUUUUUCCUGUUUGAGUGUGUGCACCAGUUUUGAGUCUCCCAUUUCAGGUUCAAUUUCCCAAACAAGUACAUUUUGAAGGCGUGAACGGAGGAUAGAUAUUUCUCCUUUUCUUACGUUAUAUUCCCUAAACCGAAGUGUAUUAACAGUAUUACCAAUGAUAUUUUACCUGUUUGAGUGAGUGUACCAGUUUUGAGUCAGGCAGUUCAGGUUCAUUUUCCCAAACAAGUACAUUUUGAAGCUGUAAACAGACGAUACUCUUUCUUUUCUUACGUUAUUUUCGUGAACUAACAGUAUUACUAAUAAUAUUUUACCUGUUUGAGUGAGUGUACCAGUUUUGAGUCUAGCAGUUCAGGUUCAUUUUCCCAAACAAGUACAUUUUGAAGCUGUAAACGGACGAUACUUUUUCUUUUCUUACGUUAUUUUCGUGUACUAACAGUAUUACUAACGAUAUUUUUCCUGUCUGAUUGUGUGUACCAGUUUCAGUUAAGUCUCCCAUCUGAGGCACAUUUGACAGGCGUGCACGGACGAUAUUUCUUCUUUUCUUACGUUACUCCUUAAACCAAAGUGUGUUAACAGUAUGAACUAAUGAUACUUUCCCAUGUUUGAGUAUGUACCACUUUUGAUUAGUCUCCCAUUCAAGGUUCAAUUUUCCCAAACAGGUGAUUUUGACAGGUGUGUUAAGUACAUUAUUUUCUGACGGUGGGAUCACUUAACACGAAUAUACAACAUUCCUAACGAUACCUCAGUUAAUUUAAAGUGCAUAGUGCUGGGUAUGUAAAUUUCUCGCCCUCAAAGUCCAAUUUACAGAUACACUUCAAUAGGCAAUUACACAAGCCAUUUUAUUUCCAUUUUUUGUGGUUCCCUAACUCGAAACAGCGAUAAUUUCAAGCUCACGGUCUUGUCCAAUUUUAAGAACAGGUACACUUCAAUAAGCAAUUACACAAGCCAUUUUAUUUCCAUUUUUUUGCGAUUCCCUAUCUCGAAACAGCGAUAAUUCAAGCUAUAUCAGUACAUGUCACGGUCUUGUCUUGCCCUCAAAGUCCAAAUUUAAGAACAGAUACACUUCAAUAAGCAAUUACACAAGCCAUUUUAUUUCCAUUUUUUGCGAUUCCCUAACACGAAACAGCGAUAAUUUCAAGCUAUAUCAGUACAUGUCCCAGUCCUGUCUUGCCCUUCAGGUCCAAUUAUAAGAACUAAUACAAUUUAAGGCUAGUACAUAAACCAUUUUCAUUCCAUUUUUUGUGAUUCGCUAACUGGAGUCAUAAUAGCAGUUUGGUUUAGCGAUAAUUUUAUGGUAUUUACGUGUGUGUCCCAGUUUUAUAUCGUGUCCUAAAGGUUCAAUUUUAAGUACAGGUACAUUUUAAAGGCAAUUAGCAAAGCCAUUCUCUCUCCUUUCUCGUGAUUUCUCAAUUGAAGACGUUUUAACAGUCUGCACUAGCAAUGAUUUGAAGAUAUUUAAGUGUUUGCCCAAAUCUUCUCAUUCAUACGGUCCAAUUCUAAGUACAGGUAUAUUUUAAGGGGAAGUACAUUAGCCAUUCUCUCUCCUUUCUUGUGAUUUCUCAAUUGAAGACGUUUUAACAGUUUGCACUAGCGGUAACUUCAAGCUAUUUAGGUAUGUCCCAGUCUUGUCUCACGCCUUAAGUUGCAUAUUUUCAAACAGGAACAUCAAAUACAUGUCAUUCUCCCUGCCUGUGAUUCCCUAACUGGAGACGUAUUAACAGUCUGAACGAGCGAUACUUUCAAGCUCUUUAAGUGCAUGUUUCAGAGUCAAGUUUCUCGCCCCUUCUGGUUCAUCUUUUCAAACAGGCACGCAGGACACUCUCUCUUAUGUCACUCCCUAUUUCGAGACAUUUCUGCGUCAUGGACCAGCGUCACUUUACCUAUUUGAGUGUACCAACGGAGUCCCUCUUUUUUCAAGGUUCAAGUUUAGGAAAAGGUUUAUAUUUUUACUGGCGUGUGUGUACGUUAGUUUUAAAGUGAGUUGAUUCGAUAAUUUUUAAGUUUCCAUAUGUCUGAGGUAAUUCCCUGGUUUUUAAAGUUUCCGCAAGUCUUGAGGUGAUUUCCUAAACUCCUAAGACAUUUCCGGAUUGUUAGCUCCAGAGAAUAAGUGCAUAAAUCAGUUAGCAUUUACGAAUAGUCCUUUUAUUUGAGGGGAUUUCCUUAUUCAAAACAUCUAUUAGUAACAAUUUUCAUUCUUUUAGCUUCACUUGUUUUGGUGUUUGUUUUAGUCCAAGAGCAUAAAUCAGUUAGCUUUUACGAAGUCCUUUUAUUUGAGGUGAUUUCCUUAUUAAAGACAUCUUUUACUAACAAUUUUCAUUCUUUUAGCUUCACAUGUUUUGGUGUUUGUUUUAGUCCAAGUGCAUGAACGAGUUAGCUUUUCCGAUUAUCAUCCUUUUCUUUGAGUUGAUUUCCUAAUUCAAGACAAACAGUACUAAGGGUUUUCUUUCUUUCAGCUCAACAUGUCUUGGUAUUUGGUUUAGUCCUAGAGCAUAAGUACAUGAACCUGUUAGCUGUUACGGAUACAUAAACUCUUUUCUUUGAUGUAAUUCCAUUAUUCAAAACGUCUCAACAGCAAGUAUUAACGAUUUGUCUUCAGCUUGACUGUCAGUGUCCGGACCAGUGUCACUUGUAAUCCCCGUUCACGCUAACUACGAAGAUAAGCUCCUCCCCUUUCCGAUUAAGAAGUUUUCAUUGGCUAGUCCACCAACAGGCCACGCCCCCUCUUAAACUGAGGCAGCAUGUGAUUGGUGGAUGCUCCGAAAGGUGGAAUCUGAUUGGUGGUUGCUGGGGUGAUGUGGGCGGGGCUUAUAGGCGAAGUUAGCUUGAAUGGAGUGUGUGUGUGUGUGUGUGUGUGUGUGUGUGUGUGUGUGUGUGUGUGUGUGUGUGUCAUCCCUCACAGGCUCCCCCUCAAGUUGUGUUUCAGUCAUUUCUUAGUUUCAGUUUCCUCCCCAGCGCUUCCUUCCCCCCCUUCCCCCCAGGCCGCGGUCCGUCCCGUGCUAACUAAUCAAGGGUGAGGUAACAGAUAAAUCUUCGCGCUCUGCAACAUAACAAAUAAAAAGUUACAGUAGAGAUCAUUGACAUCGCUGGCAAUGAAGUUUUUUUUCCCUUGUCAGUCUAUAUACACAUUGUCUAUUAUAUAUAUAUCAACUAUUUGUAUAUCAGUCAGACGGGGUGCACCUGCCCCUGCCCCCGCCCCCCUGAGCCGCCCCCCGCACCCGCCCCGUGCCUGGUGGGGCGGGGCGGGGCUCGGCGGGGCGGAGCGCGUCUACCCUGUCUCGCCCUGUCCUGAACGCCGCUCGCAGGAAGGAAACACAAAUCACUUAUUCAGAUUUAUAUUCAACACCUGGAAAUAAGCCGGUAGUGUGCACUUCCUCACAUUGCAAACCAAAAUGACGCCACGCUUAGCUUACGGAUAACUUAAAUUAAGUACAGAAAAUAUAAAAUCUCCAUAUACGCCCUACAACACAACGGCUCAGGCCCCGGCGAGGGUAGGCCCCGCCCGCCUGGCUACCUGACGACAUGAACUACUUUACACUAUAUACAACAAGGAAUAUAAUAAUUCUCCAUGGAACUCAAAAGUACAAACAGCACAGAGGAACUAACGUACAAGCUCUGUAUAGUAAGAAACUAGACUAAUAUGUUCAUCUAAGUCAAAAUCUUAAGCCGUCCGGGGCUAGAUGGACUACACAAGUACUCCACAGCUUGUCUCAGGGUAAUAUAAACUCCCAUAUAAUACUAACAACGAUCGCCUCGCUACGUGAUUAUCGAAGGUUGAUCACACGGCCCUGCCCCGCCAAGGCCUGAGGGCAGUAGUCUUCACGUGGGUUCUUUUGGUACUCUUUGCACUAACCGUUAAUAGAUAUCCUCUAAACCUUCCUUUUGAGACAGUGGUGCACGGAAAGCAGUCACUGGAGAACAUGGAUUAGCAGCAGAAGAAAACCAUAUCUUUAUAUAUAUGAAAUUGUAGAAAAAUAGAAAGGCAAGAUUAUUAAGAUUAUUCAACAUUUUACAUUCUUUUUUUCUUCUUCUUCUUCUUCUUCCGUCUUCCUCUCAAGCUUGUUUCGCGCAGUUUGAAGGUGAAGCUCAACCCUCUCCGGCCUGACCCUGCCCUGACCCUCCCCCCUCAGCCCCCUGCGUCCCCUGAGUGUCGCUCCGGCAGCCUCGCCACAAGCUUGCUAUGAGAGAAGCGAGAAAUUGAGACGUCGCUUGAACUUGAACCUGACAAAGUAAGGACUGAGUGACUGUGAGGUGGUGGUGGCGUGUGCGUGUGUGUGUGUGUGUGGGUGGGUGGGGGGGGGGGUGAUGUGGGAUGGAAGGGGUGACUGUGUGUGUUGGUGUGUGUGUUUGGAGGGAGGUUAUGUGUGUUUGUUGGUGUUUGUGUGUGUGUGGAUGAUUGUGUGUGUGUGUGUGUAUGUGUGUAGGGGAAGGAAGGGAAGGAGUGGUGUGUGUGUGUGUGUGUGUGUGUGUGUGUGUGUGUGUGUGUGUGUGUGUGUGUGUGUAUGCAAAAAAGUAGUGAAUCCAAAUAUUUACUUCGAUCUUACACUGUUAAUUAGCCUUUACCUGUUCAGUGCUAAUAUGCUGACAGGUGUGUGUGUGUGUGUGUGUGUGUGUGUGUGUGUGUGUGUGUGUACCUAUUGACAACUGGUUUCUGUGACCGUACGAGAUAUAAAUUUGCAAGUGGCUCUGUGGAUCAAAUGCGAGACAACCAACCAGUGACUGACAGACAUUCACGAUACAAAAAAAUGCUCCUGGUUACACAUCGAAGACACACGACAACAUCACGGUAACGAAAUAAAGAGUAAGGAGAAUAACAAUACAUUCCACCGUAAGAAAGAACAGAAAAAACAAACAAAAAAAAAAUACAAACGAACGCAAAAAAAAACUAAAAAAAAAUUCAUGACGAGUGUUUUGCAAAAUUUUUCGAGGAUUUUUUUUCUUCUUUUUGAGUGUGAAAAAGUGUGUUAAUCAAGUUUGCAUAAUCAUUACAUCUUCCUUUUGAACCAAUCGUUAAGUUACACACACACACACACACACACACACGCGGACACACAAUCUUAACGUAACUUUUUAACGAAACACGAAACACAUAAUGAAACACAAGACCCGAUAAACUUGCAUGGUUGGGCUGAAACACACACAAAAAAACACACUCUCCUCGUACCAUAUCAAACACGGACACACACAACCGGACACGCGUUUUCUCUUCCAGUCUUCAUUUUUAGGGACAAAGAAAAUGGGACACAACCAAAUUCCUCAACCGGUAUCAUUCGCGUCUAGCUUGAAUGAUUAGUUAAAAAAAUAUAUAGAACAGAAAUAAUUAAAGUACACACUAGCCAUUAACACAACCUCAACCUUGUCCUAAUGUUGCAGCUUUUGAAUGUAUUGGAUUGUGUGUGAAAAAGAAAAUAAGUCAUUGCAAUCUUAUCUUCAGUGUUAUUAUUAUUAUCAUCAUCAUCAUCAUUAUUGUUAUUGUACAGAUUUACACAGUGUGGUAUGUAUAGGUUGACAUUUCCUUCCUUGUUUUCUUUUUUUCUCCUUUUCAUUCUUUUCACUUUCCUUUUUUCUGCCUUUCUUCCAUUUUUUUUUAACAUUUUUUCCUCCUUUCUUUUUUAGCAUCCUUUCAUCCUUCCUUCUUUUCAUUCUUCUUCCUCCUUUUAAUUUUUUCUGCCUUUCUUCCAUAUUUUUUUUACAUUUUUUCCUCCUUUCUUUUUUACCAUCCUUCUAUUCUUUCAUGCUCCUUUAUCUUUCUUCUUUCCAUUUUUCUUCCUCCCUUUUAUUUUUUUCUACCUUCCUUGCACUCUGUUCUGUCUUCCUUCUCUCCUUUCUUCCAUUUUUUUCUACAUACCUUCCUUCCUUUUAUUUUCCUCUUUUCUUUCUUCACUCUACUAUUUUUCUUCCUUCCCUCUCUACACUUGCAAGAACGAACGAGCGAAAACGAAGGGCGAGAAUUGCAUUUCCAUAAACUUGGCUGUCAGUGUGAGUGCGUGUGUGUAUGGGGAUUUGCGGCAAGACUUUCACCAUUCUCCGUCACGCGCACUGCAGAGGACACCACCGCGAAAGACGAGACCUGCUCCGCGCUGACUGAACUCGCGUAAACCGAAUUCGCGCUGACUGAAUUCGCGUAAACUGAAUUCGCGCUGACUGAAUUCGCGGAAACCGAAUUCGCGUAGUCUGAACUCGCGAACCCAGCUCAGCCAAUCCACGCCAGCCUGACCAAGUGCAAUGUCGAACCAAGGCGCAAUUCUGACAUAACGCUGAGUGAGGGCAAAAAACGCACUGAACAUACAAACAAACCUUACACACACACACAUACAUAAACACACACACACACACACACACACAAACCGGGCAGUCAGGAGGAAGGGCAAGGGCAAGGUAAGGAUUGCUAAUUAUAAAACUAACAAAUAGGGAACUCCAACUGUCCUUCCUCAUGCACUCACGGACGCACACAGACGAACGCACGCACACACGAUUCUCUGGUUCUCCCUAUCAGUGUUCUACGACAUAAAAAAAACGUAUUUACAAGGGGAAUAAACUAUCACUAUGUACAAACACACCAGCAGCAGCCAGCCAGCCAGCCAGUGAGUGGAGUGACAGUUAUCCGAAAUUGCUUGAUACCAACACCAAACACCAUCAUCACCACUUUCAUCACCAUCACUACCACCCUUUUCAAACACCAUCACUCCCAUCAGCUCCUUUUCAAAUGCCAUCACCUUCAAACACCACAUCCAACAUCACCUUCUCAAACACCACCAUCGGCUCCUUGACAAACAUCACCAUUUCAUCACCACCUUCAACACCGUCAUCUUCAUCAUUAUUUUCACCUCCAUUUCAAAGAUCAUCAUCACCAUCAUUUCAUUUUCAAACAUCAUCACUUUUUCCAUCUUCAUCUCCUUUUCAAUCACCAUCAUCACCAUCUCCUUUUCAAUCACCAUCAUCACCAUCUCCUUUUCAAUCACCAUCAUCACCAUCUCCUUUUCAAUCACCAUCGUCACCGUUAUUUGAUCCUAACACCAAUACCGUCAUCAUCUUCAUCUCGUUUUCCACCAUCAUCACCACCACCUCCACCACCACAUCAAUGCCACUAUCAUUAUCAUUGACAUCACCAUCACCUCCAUUACAAUCACCAUCACCACUACCACUCCUAUUUAUCAUCAUCAUCACUACACCUAUGUCAACUCCAUCACUAUCAUCCUCACCACCACCACCCUCUUCAUCACCACGGCGCAUUCUACACCAAAUACAUCACCAUCACCACCACUAUCAUCACCAAUGCCACUACAACCAUUACCUCCAUCACCAUCAUCACAACACUAUUAUCAUCACCAUCAUCAUCAUCACAAGGCAUGACCUCCACCACCAUCACCACACAAGGAAAUCGUAGUGUGUGUGUGUGUGUGUGUGUGUGUGUGUGUGUGUGUGUGUGUGUGUAAACUGAAGUCUUAUCAAUGAGUGUUUUGGGAGGUUCUUAAAAUGUGUUCUGUUCUGCUAUGUCCUGUAAUGCCUAAGUCUCUGUCUCACCCUCCGCCGCGGUCUCUCUAUGGCACAAUUCUUUGCUACAGUUGGUCUUCGGUAACCCAAUUCUUUGUCUCAGUUUUCUUUGUUGUUCUGCACAGUUCUUUCUUCUUCAUUCUUAUUGAUUCUGCUUGUUCUUCUUAGUUCUUUGUCACAGUGUUUCUCUAUCACAGGAGGGUUGUUCCAGAGUUUACAAGUGAUGGGGAUGAAAGAAUGAAGUUGCUCGUUAACUCUUGCAUAAGGGCUUUGGACAGCACAGGGAUGAGCUAGAGUUGAAAGGCUCUUAAAGGUUAGCCAAGAAUACAGACCCUAAGUACAGUCAUUAAUCUUGCCAUAAAAUUAAUCUCCUUGUGGAUAAGUGAAGAGAGAAUCAGGUGGGAAUAUGCCUUUAAUAUGUAACAUCAUCAGUGCAGGUCCUUUUUAACACUUCUUCUGCCACAGUUGUUCUUUGUCACAAUUAUUCUUCUCUACCACAACUCUUCGGCGUAAAGAGUUGCAGAGUGAACUUAAGAGAGAACGGAACGAGAGUGAAAAACCUUUGAUUCUGUAGCAAUUUUAGGAGCAGCGAGUAGCGGGCUUUUUUUUUUAUUAGUGUGUUCUUUUUUUGUGCCUUUGAGCUGUCUCCUUCUUUGAAAAAAAAAAAAAUAAAUAAAAAUAAAAAUAAAAAUAAAA